GGGGAUGUUUUGGUUUUGACAUCAGAUUAAUUGGUAUGUAAGCAUGCAGAGCAUUGGCAGCCAAGCUCUUUAAUCUCCAACUGCACGCCUAUAACUGGCAACAAUUCUUAUGCACUUGCUGCGUAAUCAGCCAAGCUAUUACGCUUAAUCCGCCCCGCCAAGGUUGCCGGGUGGACAAGUAUCCCGCCAACUCUUUAAUCCUGCUAUGAGUUUGGCUUAUGGGGUAUCAUUCCAAGCGGGAUGCUGGUGUGGACUCCUUUAAAGCACCCUAAGAUUCAAAGGAUAAGGUUCAGGUGGCCUGUCUUCCGGCAGCCUGCUCCCGACAACUAAAGAAAGAAUAAGCAUGUAGAAAGCAUAUUGAUGGUUUGGUUGGACGGCGGUUCGAGUCCGCCCAUCUCCACA
rnacentral:tmRNA from 1 species